GGUCUAUUAGCUCAAAGGUAGAGCAUUCGGCGUUUAACCGAAGGGUUGAAGGUUCGAAUCCUUCAUAGAAGCC
rnacentral:tRNA from 1 species